UACCAGCACCCCGAGUGGUCGGGACGUUUAUUGGGCCUAAAGCAUCCGUAGCCGGUUCUAUGAGUCUUCCGUUAAAUCCAACUGCUUAACAGGUGGGCUGCGGAAGAUACUAUAGAGCUAGGAGGCGGGAGAGGCAAGCGGUACUCGAUGGGUAGGGGUAAAAUCCGUUGAUCCAUUGAAGACCACCAGUGGCGAAGGCGGCUUGCCAGAACGCGCUCGACGGUGAGGGAUGAAAGCUGGGGGAGCAAACCGG
rnacentral:rRNA from 1 species